UACGUCGGGGGCUAGCGUUGUCCGGAAUCAUUGGGCGUAAAGAGCGUGUAGGCGGCCCGGUAAGUCCGCUGUGAAAGUCGGGGGCUCAACCCUCGAAUGCCGGUGGAUACUGUCGGGCUAGAGUGCGGAAGAGGCGAGUGGAAUUCCUGGUGUAGCGGUGAAAUGCGCAGAUAUCAGGAGGAACACCGAUUGCGAAGGCAGCUCGCUGGGACGUCACUGACGCUGAGACGCGAAAGCGUGGGGAGCAAACAGG
rnacentral:rRNA from 1 species